UACGGGGGGGGCAAGCGUUGUUCGGAAUUACUGGGCGUAAAGGGUGCGUAGGCGGCGCGGUAAGUCGGGUGUGAAAUCUCGGGGCUUAACUCCGAAACUGCAUUCGAUACUGCCGUGCUUGAGGACUGGAGAGGAGACUGGAAUUUACGGUGUAGCGGUGAAAUGCGUAGAUAUCGUAAGGAAGACCAGUGGCGAAGGCGGGUCUCUGGACAGUUCCUGACGCUGAGGCACGAAGGCCAGGGGAGCAAACGGG
rnacentral:rRNA from 1 species